GAUGAACGCUGGCGGCGUGCCUAAUACAUGCAAGUCGAGCGAACUUUUGGGAUCUUGCUUCCUAAAGUUAGCGGCGCACGGGUGAGUAACACGUUUGUAACCUCCCUGUAAGACUGGGAUAUCUUCUGGAAACCGGAGCUAAUACCCGAUAACAUUUAAUACCACAUAGCCUUCAAUUAAAACUUGGCUUUUUGCUACCACUUACAGAUGGACCCUCGGCGCAUUAGCUAGUUGUUAAGGUAACGGCUCACCAAGGCGACGAUGCGUAGCCGACCUGGGAGGGGGAACGGGCACACUGGGAAUGGAGAACGGGCCAGGAUCCUAAGGGAAGGAGCAGGAGGGAAUCUUCCGCAAUGGACGAAAGUCUGAAGGAGGAAAGCCGGGUGAGCGAAGGAGGCCUUCGGGUCGAAAAGCUCUGUUGUUAGGGAAGAAAAAGAAGCGUUAGAAUAGGGCGGUACCUUGACGGUACCUAACCAGAAAGCCACGGCUAACUACGUG
rnacentral:rRNA from 1 species